CGCGCAGGCGGCUCUUUAAGUCAGGCGUGAAAGCCCGGGGCUCAACCCCGGAAGUGCGUUUGAAACUAGAGAGCUCGAGUACGGGAGAGGGAAGUGGAAUUCCUGGUGUAGAGGUGAAAUUCGUAGAUAUCAGGAGGAACACCGGUGGCGAAGGCGACUUCCUGGACCGGUACUGACGCUGAGGCGCGAAAGCGUGGGGAGCAAACA
rnacentral:rRNA from 1 species